rnacentral:rRNA from 1 species
UUGACCUCAAAUCAGGUAGGACUACCCGCUGAACUUAAGCAUAUCAAUAAGCGGAGGAAAAGAAACUAACAAGGAUUCCCUUAGUAACUGCGAGUGAAGUGGGAAAAGCUCAAAUUUAGAAUCUGGCGGUCGCUUGGCUGUCCGAGUUGUAAUCUAGAGAAGUGUUGCCCGUGCUGGACCAUGUACAAGUCUCCUGGAAUGGAGCAUCACAGAGGGUGAGAAUCCUGUCUUUGACAUGGACUGCCAGUGCUUUUGUGGUACGCUCUCAAAGAGUCGAGUUGUUUGGGAAUGCAGCUCAAAACGGGUGGUAAAUGCCAUCUAAAGCUAAAUAUUGGCGAGAGACCGAUAGCGAACAAGUACCGUGAGGGAAAGAUGAAAAGAACUUUGGAAAGAGAGUUAAACAGUACGUGAAAUUGCUGAAAGGGAAACGCUUGAAGUCAGUCACGUUGACUCGGAAUCAGCUCUGCUUUUGCUGGGUGUACUUUCUUGUCAAUGGGUCAGCAUCAAUUUUGACCAUUGGAUAAAGUUGCUGGGAAUGUAGCAUCCUUUUGGAUGUGUUAUAGCCUGGUGAUGCAUACGGUGGUUGGGAUUGAGGAAUUCAGCACGCCACCAGGCCGGGUUUCGACCACGUUCGUGCUUAGGAUGCUGGCAUAAUGGCUUUAAUCGACCCGUC